rnacentral:tRNA from 1 species
GGGCCUGUAGCUCAGUGGUAAGAGCAGGUGGCUCAUAACCACUUGGUCGCAGGUUCGAAUCCUGCCGGGCCCACCA